rnacentral:rRNA from 1 species
UUCCUUUGAGUCUCAGCCUUGCGACCAUACUCCCCAGGCGGGGUACUUAUCACUUUUGCUUCACCUGGAAGAACACAGGGAUCCCCCAAGCUAGUACCCAUCGUUUACGGCUAGGACUACCGGGGUAUCUAAUCCCGUUCGCUACCCUAGCUUUCGUACCUCAGCGUCAGUUGUGGGCCAGAGAACCGCCUUCGCCACCGGUAUUCCUCAUGAUAUCUACGCAUUUCACCGCUCCACCAUGAGUUCUGUUCUCCCCUACCACACUCUAGCAUGACAGUUUGCCAGGCAGUUCCACGGGUAAGCCGUGGGCUUUCACCCGACACUUGUCACGCCGCCUACGUACGCUUUAAGCCCAGUAAUUCCGAGCAACGUUCGCACUCUCUGUACUACCGCGGCUGCUGGCACAGAGUUAGCCAGUGCUUCCUCUCGAGCCUUCGUCAAUGCACGCCGGUAUUAAUGACGUACACUUCUUAACUCGUGACAGGAGUUUACAACCCGAAGGCCUUCGUCCUCCACGCGGCGUCGCUCCGUCAGACUUUCGUCCAUUGCGGA